UAUCUUCUUCUUCGGGGGUUGCCUACAUUCUUCUUCCCCUCCAAGUUUUUCUGUUGAGGGACCUCCUGACAAACAUACAGAUUGGUGACAAACAUGCAGGAGGUCCCUCUUAGCAUUUUUUUACUAACCAGUGUGUGAGUUUCUCUCCCCAGAUACCUCCUGCCUUACCUAAGAGGGCUGCUGGACUUGCUGCCAGCCAACCUCCAGAACUGGUGCUUCAACGACAUCAAGCAGAUUCAGACAGGAUGGACCAGAGAUGACGGGAGGCAGAUCCAGGACUAGUGCAUGACUCGAGAGACCGUGCAAUUAACACAAGAGCCAUCUCUCCAAGACCCCCGAUCUUAUGAAAGAUCAGAUCAAGAAAGCAGACAAGGAACAGCCCAUGAAGUGAAUCCAGAUUAUGGCAGAGGGGACGAUUAUUACAGUGACGCAAAAGGUUUCUCUGGAUCUGGAGCUGCAUGUUUCUGAUCUGCUGUUAUCGGCCUCAGUGACCUCCAAAGUCUUCAUGUUCUCUCCUUCCUCUCUACCUUCAACCCAACCAGAAGUUUUUUUUUAACUUCCCAACAACUUUUUUUCCUCCACACGGGCACCACAUGCUUGAUCUGAUCAUACUGCAAAAAGAGAGAUCCUCAAAUAAAAAACAAAAGAACACAAUAGAACUGUAUCUGUUUGUUUAAAAGUGUAACAUAAUGCACCCUUCCUUUUAUAUUUAUUUUUGGAGAGCAUGUGUUAUGGUUCUCAAACUAAAUCAGUUUUAAAAAUGUGCUUUCAAAACACUGGUUUCUCACAAACACCUGGACUCCAUCUUAAAACUGCACAGCAUUUGAACAUACUGCUGGUUGUGAGUUUACUUGGAGUAAAUACACUAAAGUUAACCGUUUGUAUCUGAAAUUCAGUCAUAAUGUGCACCAACUAGUGUCUGUUGUGGUUGACAAUAAAGUGGCUAUUCUGUUCUAUUCUGAUUAAUCCCUGCUCAUGCUGCAUCCUUGUCCUAGA